rnacentral:rRNA from 1 species
UACGAAGGGGGCUAGCGUUGCUCGGAAUCACUGGGCGUAAAGGGUGCGUAGGCGGGUCUUUAAGUCAGAGGUGAAAUCCUGGAGCUCAACUCCAGAACUGCCUUUGAUACUGAAGAUCUUGAGUUCGGGAGAGGUGAGUGGAACUGCGAGUGUAGAGGUGAAAUUCGUAGAUAUUCGGAGGAACACCAGUGGCGAAGGCGGCUCACUGGUCCAUUACUGACGCUGAGGUGCGAAAGCGUGGGGAGCAAACAGG